ensembl:lncRNA LOC120097577 uncharacterized LOC120097577
GGUUUAUCUGCACGGCCCUUGGGAGCCAUGCUACCUGCAUGCCGACAUGGUUACUAUAGAGAUAAUCUGUGCACUAUGUAAGGCCUCAUCAAUAGGAAUCUGAUGACCAAUAAGAUGAGGCAGUAUUAAAAGGUGGGAUAUUCAGCAGAGAGAGAGAGAGAAACUCUCGGAGACAGGCUCAAGGUUUUGCCAUCUGGACUUGGAGGAAGUUGGAUGUAUGAAACUGAGGAGAGAAGUCUCCAGAUCAGCGCCAGAGGAGCAUCGCUGCUGGCAUCUGCUGUCUCCGUGGUGACUCAGGAGGACUCUGGGUAACCCCACACAGUCAGGAUCCAUCCGCACCUGCAACCUGAGACUCGGAGAGUAGGCCAGUGCUCACCUCGCUCUUUCCUUUAGGUCUCCCACCCCUGUCGGCUUCCAUUACCUCCCUGGAUGCUGAAACCCGGGAACUUCCAGUGGGGCUCCACAAUUUUGCCAAAAGUCCUUGUAAAUAAAGUCUAGUUCUAUAAAGCUACAUUUUUCCAGUCUUGCAUAAUAGUGUCACUCUGGACCAAAAAAAUCGAUAUUUUUUUUUGACUCUUAAAUUACAUUAAAUUAUCCAGAAAGGUUUACUUUGCUGUGGUCAAACUGAAAGCAC